CCUUAUCCCUUCUUUCUCUCUUAUGCACCUACCCAACCUAUGCACAUCCACAUUCCCACUCCUUCUUCGACUCCACCCAUUCAACCCUCAUCCUCUUUGACGGCCCCGUGAGCUCGAAUGAGAGUGCCCCACCUACUAGGUUUGACGGAAAAUCUCGAGAAAUCGAGCACAAAUUUGGAGAAAAGCAACGGAUCAAGGAUAGGACCGAGAUCGGUGGCAAUCUGCAUACAUGAGGUCUACGUGGACAGAACCAUGAAAUUCAGGUUGUUGGGGUUACGCAGGCAAGCAGCCAGGCUGGUGCCGUGGACGAAUUCGUAGACAAGGAAUGUAUGGUCGGUGGAGAUGCUCGGGCCGAUGAGAUUGAUGAUGGAAGUGUGGUGGCUGCGACAGAUGGUGGAGAGUUGGUUUUUGAGUUUGGUGACGGAGAGCUUGACGCGGAACUUGCGUUGGAAAAUGACGGCGUCUUUUCCACAUAGUUUGCAGCGCUAAGAGGGGGUAGAGGUGGAAGGCUGUUCAAAGGAGGAGGAUGCGACGGAAGUUGGGUGGGUGGAUUGAGCGGAUUGCUGGGUGCGUGGGGUGUAGCGAGGGGUGAAGACUGGAUGAGCGAUGUCGACUGACAUUUUGGAUUUGCACAUAUGGGUGGAGGCUGAGAAUGGAAGGAGAAGGGGAGGAGGGUCGAUGGUUGAGGAAGAAGAUACUUUUUUUUUGUAAUUUUGUAAUUUUUUAAUGUUUAAUUUUUUUUGUUUUUAAUAUCCACGUGGGACCCUUAUUGACACGUGAUGUCCAGUCAUUGUCCACGUGGGCGCCACGUCAUUGGUUAAUGGGAGACUUAAUAGCCAAGCUAACGGAUGUAUGAGACAUUCCCAAAAUUAACACUUUAGGUAUGACUCUGGGACGAAAUAAACUUCAUGAACUAAAUGUUGAAAACCAUGAAACUUGAGGGUAGUAAUGUAACAUCCCACAUCGCCCAGGGGAGUGGAUCCUUUAAGCCUUAU
rnacentral:lncRNA from 1 species